CCUACGGGUGGCAGCAGUGAGGAAUAUUGGUCAAUGGCCGUAAGGCUGAACCAGCCAAGUCGCGUGAAGGAAGAAGGAUCUAUGGAUUGUAAACCUCUUUUAUCGGGGAAUAAAGGUAUCCACGUGUGGCUAUUUGCAUGUACCUUAUGAAUAAGCAUCGGCUAACUCCGUGCCAGCAGCCGCGGUAAUACGGAGGAUGCGAGCGUUAUCCGGAUUUAUUGGGUUUAAAGGGUGCGCAGGCUGUUUUUUAAGUCAGCGGUGAAAGUUUGGGGCUCAACCAUAAAAUUGCCGUUGAAACUGGCAGUCUUGAGUGUGUUUGAGGUAUGCGGAAUGCGUGGUGUAGCGGUGAAAUGCAUAGAUAUCACGCAGAACUCCGAUUGCGAAGGCAGCUUACU
rnacentral:rRNA from 1 species